rnacentral:lncRNA from 10 species
UACAGGUGCCCACCACCACACCCGGCUAAUUUUUUUAUUUUUAGUACAGACGGGGUUCCACCAUGUUGGCCAGGAUGGUUUCUAUCUCUUGACCUCAAGAUCCACCCUCCAUGGCCUCCCAAAAUGCUGAGAUUACAGGUGUGAGCCACGGCACCCCACCAGGAACUUAAAUUUUUAACUGCCACUUGCAGCUAGUGUGUACCAAAUCGGAGAGCCCAGCCUUAUAUAUUCAAAUCCUCUAUUGGUCACUCUUUAUAUGCAUUCCAGCUUGUCAAUAUCCAUCAAACAUCUGACUCCUACAAAGCAAUACUAAACAGUACAACUUUCAGAAUGACCAUUUAACACCUAGACAGUAUUUCUAUUCCUGCUUUCCAGAAUGUAAUUUUUUUUAAGCAUCCAUAGGGUGGGUCACAUUGAUAAUCACUGUAACUAAUACUUUGUCAGCAAUCCUAGUGCCUAAAUGUGUAUAACUGCAUUUUUUAACCUAAAUGUAAGACUUGAUACUUCAACUUUUUGGUUUAGGCCCAGCAGUUUGGGUAUUCCACGUGGUUAAUCAUUUUAAAGCUUGUUUCAAUAUAGUCUUCCAACCAGACUUUCCAAUUUGUGUCACUUACAGAUUUGGCACUACCACCAUCUGGUCUGUAUGUAAUCCUUUACAGUUUGCAAGGCACUUUUACAUCCAUUAUAUUUAAUUUGAUUCUUACAACCAACUUGUGAGAUAGGCAAGAUGUGAAGUCGAUAUUUUAUAGACAAAGCAGCUGAAGCAUAAUAGGAGCUUAACUGGUGGGAUCCAUUUAUCCAUUUUCUCUUCCAUGGAGCAUCUUGUUGUAUUCAUCCAAAUCCUUGACAGAAAUGUUGAAGAGGACCUCUAGAGGCUAAGCUUAUCCUGAAUUCUUAAAUAGCACUGACUGUUACAGUUUAAGCAAGUCAGUUUCACCUAAAAGUGUGAUUAUCCAACCCACAUGUUGCCUUUCUGUUCAAAAAGGAUGGUACCAAAGACAGUCACAGUCACCUGGCUUACUGACAUAAAUAUUAAUACUAAUCAAAUGAGUAAAAAGCCCAUGAGGAUUGGCUGCCACAAAAAAUUUUCAACCUGUAUCUACCAAGAAACUAUCAUACCAACUAAGGAAGCCAAGUCUCUCUCUCUUUCAAAACCCUCACGGGGCCAUGCUUUAUUAUAAUGGUC